AUUGAACGCUGGCGGCAGGCCUAACACAUGCAAGUCGAACGAGUGGCGGACGGGUGAGGAAUGUCUGGGAAACUGCCUGAUGGAGGGGGAUAACUACUGGAAACGGUAGCUAAUACCGCAUACCAUCAGAUGUGCCCAGAUGGGAUUAGCUUGUUGGGGGGGUAACGGCUCACCAAGGCGACGCUCCCUAGCUGGUCUGAGAGGCGGACCAGCCACACUGGAACUGAGAUACGGUCCAGACUCCUACGGGAGCCAGCAGUGGGGAAGUUUGCCCAAGGGGCGCAAGCCUGAUGCAGCCAUGCCGCGUGUAUGAAGAAGGCCUUCGGGUUGUAAAGUACUUUCAGCGGCGAGGCGUUACCCGCAGAGGAAGCACCGGCUAACUCCGUGCCAGCAGCCGCGGUAAUAC
rnacentral:rRNA from 1 species